AUGUUAGCAUUUGUAGUGAUCCAAAGGCAGCAAUCUAACAAUCUAGCCUAUUCAAAAAGCCAGUCAGAUGGUCACAAACAUUUUGAAAAAGAAAAUUCAGGUGUUAAAGAACAGGAUAGAAGUAAGAAAAAAAAAAAAAAACAGGCAAAAGAGUUUAAAGGAGAAGACAGAAGACAGAAUCUGGAAAAAAUAUCUGAAAAGGAGCAGCAAAGACUCCACAGAGUGCUUGUAGACCAAGAUUAUGCUGAAGGAGCAGCUCCUACUGGAAGGUGUUCUUCUCAUGGCACAACAAAAAGAGUUCUCGGCAACUGGCAAUGUCCUAAAGCCUCUAGCUUUAAAGUGAAACAAGAUCUCUUUUGCUCCAAUGCCAUUGGUUCCCACGAGCCAGAUGGCCAAGACUGACUAAGUAAUCUGAAAACCUACUUUAUCCACUCAGAGGCAUGGUAAACUACACGAUGUGUAUAAUAAAUUGAAUAUCUGAGGAUGGAAGUUGAUAAAU
rnacentral:lncRNA from 1 species